GAAGAAAAGAAGCUUGUUCAAGGUCACAUAGAGCUGGAAUUUAAAUUCAGAUCUAUUAUAUUCUUAAAAACUGUGGAAGAGUUUUCCAACACUCGACAGGCUGACACAACUCUUCUGCACACUCUGGUGUUUGUGUCUGUCACUCUGCACACUCUGGUGUUUGUGUCUUCUGGUGAUCCUGGAUUAUCAAGCCGUGACAAUGUUGAUGGUUGCAUGUCAGGAGCAGAUAAUAUUGAUGACUAACAGCA
rnacentral:lncRNA from 1 species